GGGAGCUUGUGCUUCAAGGUAAUACAUUUAUUAAAAGUUUCAUGCCAUUCUCGCAAUGCUUGCCUACUCCACAAACGUGCCAUUUUCUUCUUAGAGUUGCCAAAGCGACUAUGUCAUUUCCGGUGCUUGGUGUCUCAUCUAUCUUUGGUUAAUGCAGCUCUGAAAUACAGUUCCAUUCACCUUGAACACGUUGUGAACUCCAAGGUAGUAUCUAAAUGCUUUGGAAAGAAGAAAACAUAAAAGCUUGAUUUCCA
rnacentral:misc_RNA from 1 species